CCUACGGGAGGCAGCAGUGGGGAAAAUUGGACAAUGGGCGAAAGCCUGAUCCAGCAAUGCCGCGUGAGUGAUGAAGGCCUUAGGGUUGUAAAGCUCUUUUACCCGGGAUGGUAAUGACAGUACCGGGAGAAUAAGCUCCGGCUAACUCCGUGCCAGCAGCCGCGGUAAU
rnacentral:rRNA from 1 species